CAGCGCCACGGUAAUACGAAGGGUGCAAGCGUUAAUCGGAAUUACUGGGCGUAAAGCGUGCGUAGGCGGUUUGUUAAGUCUGCUGUGAAAUCCCCGGGCUCAACCUGGGAAUGGCAGUGGAUACUGGCUCGCUAGAGUGUGUCAGAGGAUGGUGGAAUUCCCGGUGUAGCGGUGAAAUGCGUAGAGAUCGGGAGGAACAUCAGUGGCGAAGGCGGCCAUCUGGGACAACACUGACGCUGAGGCACGAAAGCGUGGGGAGCAAACAGGAUUAGAUACCCCAGUAGUCCCUGUCUCUUAUACA
rnacentral:rRNA from 1 species